rnacentral:rRNA from 1 species
UUACACAUGCAGUCGAACGAUGAUCUCCAGCUUGCUGGGGGGAUUAGUGGCGAACGGGUGAGUAACACGUGAGUAACCUGCCCUUGACUCUGGGAUAAGCCUGGGAAACUGGGUCUAAUACCGGAUAUGACCAUUCCACGCAUGUGGUGGUGGUGGAAAGCUUUUGCGGUUUUGGAUGGACUCGCGGCCUAUCAGCUUGUUGGUGGGGUAAUGGCCUACCAAGGCGACGACGGGUAGCCGGCCUGAGAGGGUGACCGGCCACACUGGGACUGAGACACGGCCCAGACUCCUACGGGAGGCAGCAGUGGGGAAUAUUGCACAAUGGGCGAAAGCCUGAUGCAGCGACGCCGCGUGAGGGAUGACGGCCUUCGGGUUGUAAACCUCUUUCAGUAGGGAAGAAGCCGCAAGGUGACGGUACCUGCAGAAGAAGCGCCGGCUAACUACGUGCCAGCAGCCGCGGUAAUACGUAGGGCGCAAGCGUUAUCCGGAAUUAUUGGGCGUAAAGAGCUCGUAGGCGGUUUGUCGCGUCUGCUGUGAAAGACCGGGGCUCAACUCCGGUUCUGCAGUGGGUACGGGCAGACUAGAGUGCAGUAGGGGAGACUGGAAUUCCUGGUGUAGCGGUGAAAUGCGCAGAUAUCAGGAGGAACACCGAUGGCGAAGGCAGGUCUCUGGGCUGUAACUGACGCUGAGGAGCGAAAGCA